rnacentral:rRNA from 1 species
ACGCUCGACACCUACGGAGGCAGCAGUGGGGAAUAUUGCACAAUGGAGGAAACUCUGAUGCAGCGAUGCCGCGUGAGGGAAGAAGGUUUUCGGAUUGUAAACCUCUGUCUUUGGGGACGAUAAUGACGGUACCCAAGGAGGAAGCUCCGGCUAACUACGUCNCACAGCCGCGGUAAUCUGAGCGGGCUGGCAAGGC